rnacentral:rRNA from 1 species
AGAGUUUGAUCCUGGCUCAGGAUGAACGCUAGCGGAGGCCUAACACAUGCAAGCCGAGCGGUAGAGAUCUUUCGGGAUCUUGAGAGCGGCGUACGGGUGCGGAACACGUGUGCAACCUGCCUUUAUCUGGGGGAUAGCCUUUCGAAAGGAAGAUUAAUACCCAUAAUAUACUGAAUGGCAUCAUUCGGUAUUGAAAACUCCGGUGGAUAGAGAUGGGCACGCGCAAGAUUAGAUAGUUGGUGAGGUAACGGCUCACCAAGUCUACGAUCUUUAGGGGGCCUGAGAGGGUGAUCCCCCACACUGGUACUGAGACACGGACCAGACUCCUACGGGAGGCAGCAGUGAGGAAUAUUGGACAAUGGGUGAGAGCCUGAUCCAGCCAUCCCGCGUGAAGGACGACAGCCCUAUGGGUUGUAAACUUCUUUUGUAUAGGGAUAAACCUACCCUCGUGAGGGUAGCUGAAGGUACUAUACGAAUAAGCACCGGCUAACUCCGUG